AGCGUUCAAGUCAAGCUGAAAACACCUGUUCUCGUUCGAUCACCAAAGUUAAGCAACGUCAAGUUGGGGGAAUUCUUUGAUGGUGGACCACUUGUGAACCCCGUAUGCAG